GACGAACGCUGGCGGCGUGCUUAACACAUGCAAGUCGAACGGAAAGGCCCUGCUUUUGUGGGGUGCUCGAGUGGCGAACGGGUGAGUAACACGUGAGUAACCUGCCCUUGACUUUGGGAUAACUUCAGGAAACUGGGGCUAAUACCGGAUAGGAGCUCCUGCUGCAUGGUGGGGGUUGGAAAGUUUCGGCGGUUGGGGAUGGACUCGCGGCUUAUCAGCUUGUUGGUGGGGUAGUGGCUUACCAAGGCUUUGACGGGUAGCCGGCCUGAGAGGGUGACCGGCCACAUGGGGCCUGAGAGACGGCCCAGACUCCUACGGGAGGCAGCAGUGGGGAAUAUUGCACAAUGGGCGGAAGCCUGAUGCAGCAACGCCGCGUGCGGGAUGACGGCCUUCGGGUUGUAAACCGCUUUCGCCUGUGACGAAGCGUGAGUGACGGUAAUGGGGAAAGAAGCACCGGCUAACUACGU
rnacentral:rRNA from 1 species